ACAGGGAUUACCUCAGUAACGGCGAGUGAAGCGGUAACAGCUCAAAUUUGAAAUCUGGGUCUUUUAGGCUCCGAGUUGUAAUUUGUAGAAGAUGCUUCGGGUGUGGCCCCGGUCUAAGUUCCUUGGAACAGGACGUCAUAGAGGGUGAGAAUCCCGUAUGUGACUGGGUGCUUUCGCUCAUGUGAAGCUCUUUCGACGAGUCGAGUUGUUUGGGAAUGCAGCUCAAAAUGGGUGGUAUAUUUCAUCUAAAGCUAAAUAUUGGCCAGAGACCGAUAGCGCACAAGUAGAGUGAUCGAAAGAUGAAAAGCACUUUGGAAAGAGAGUUAAACAGUACGUGAAAUUGUUGAAAGGGAAGCGCUUGCAAUCAGACUUGCACGCCGUUAAUCAUCCAGGGUUCUCUCUGGUGCACUUGGCGGCGUUCAGGCCAGCAUCGGUUUUAGGGGUGGGAUAAAGGCCUUGGGAAUGUAGCUUCUUUCGGGAAGUGUUAUAGCCCUCGGUGCAAUGCCGCCUCCUGGGACCGAGGACCGCGCUUCGGCUAGGAUGCUGGCGUAAUGGUUGUAAGCGACCCGUCUUGAAACACGGACCAAGGAGUCUAACAUUUAUGCGAGUAUUUGGGUGUUAAACCCAUAUGCGGAAUGAAAGUGAACGGAGGUAGGAACCCUUAAGGGUGCACUAUCGACCGAUCCUGAUGUCUUCGGAUGGAUUUGAGUAAGAGCAUAACUGUUGGGACCCGAAAGAUGGUGAACUAUGCGUGAAUAGGGUGAAGCCAGAGGAAACUCUGGUGGAGGCUCGCAGCGGUUCUGACGUGCAAAUCGAUCGUCAAAUUUGCGUAUAGGGGCGAAAGACUAAUCGAACCAUGAGUGGGUACUAGGUGGUUAAGAGAUCGCUGAGAGGCGAUUUAGUGGCAUCGCGCCGCGACACCGUCAAAUUGCGGGGACGUCCUGUGGAAGCAAGCUACCGCAGCCGUGGGCGAAAGCCCCGGUGCGCACCGGGUUAACGACCUUGGGGAUGGUAAUAACGCUUGUGGAGGGAUAAUUCGCAGCCAAACCCGGUCACAGGGUGCAGUUCACAGACUAAAUGUCGGUGGGCAUCUGCCUCCGGGCAUUUGCUUAAGUUAUAGUCGUUCUCUCGGGCAACCGAGCCGGUGGGAAGAAGCGGGAAGGGUAGCGAGCUUCAGCCCUACCCGCCCAAUCCCCCCGGGGCCUUUCGAGGCCAGAGUCAAAGCUAGUAGCUGGUUCCUGCCGAAGUUUCCCUCAGGAUAGCAGUGUCGUAUUGAGUUUUAUGAGGUAAAGCGAAUGAUUAGAGGCCUUGGGGUUGAAACAACCUUAACCUAUUCUCAAACUUUAAAUAUGUAAGAAGUCCUUGUUGCUUAAUUGAACGUGGACAUUCGAAUCUUUGACACUAGUGGGCCAUUUUUGGUAAGCAGAACUGGCGAUGCGGGAUGAACCGAACGGGAAGUUAAGGUGCCGGAAUCUACGCUCAUCAGACACCACAAAAGGUGUUAGUUCAUCUAGACAGCAGGACGGUGGCCAUGGAAGUCGGAAUCCGCUAAGGAAUGUGUAACAACUCACCUGCCGAAUGAACUAGCCCUGAAAAUGGAUGGCGCUUAAGCGUAGUACCCAUACUUCCCCCUCAGGGUAGAAACGAUGCCCUGAGGAGUAGGCAGGCGUGGAGGUCAGUGACGAAGCCUGG
rnacentral:rRNA from 1 species